rnacentral:lncRNA from 1 species
UAGGCAACCUCAAGUAAUUCGCUUGUUUUCUAGCUAUCCGAUACAUCUAUGGGAUAUGUUAUGCGAUGACUCCACGUGGUGGUGGGAGACUCCAUUGCGACAGUCUCCAAUUAAGACUUCAUUUGCUCCAAAGUGUACAUGCAAAUAAAAAAAUAAACGAAAAGUAGAAUUAGAGGGGAAACUUAUGCAUAAUGGAACAAAUGGCGAACCAAAGACACGUAAAAUUCCCAAUAAUAAACUAUAGCUAAACCAUGCUCCAUUUAUUGAAACAAAUGAAGACUAAAACAAGUUUCUUGGCAUUUCAAGUAGUUGAUCAAACUCAUACUGCACUUUUAUUUAGAAGUAUAUGUAUUGAUUCUGACUUAUGACUUGCAUCACUAAAAUUACUAGGAAAAUUACACUAGAUCGAUGGUCUGAAACAUAACUAAUCUCAAAUGACGACCAAGGUCCUAUUUUAAUUAUUUUGGCUAUUCAUAGUCAUCAAAAGAACAAUAAUAAUUUUCUGCAAUUAAAGAAAAUGCAUACAGUCCUACAAACAAAUUAUGAAUCCCAUCUUCAUGAACAUGUCUAGCUUAUCAGCAAGUUUCUUUCUUUCUUUCUUGAAGGAAUUUAUAAUUUGGGAAGGACGUUUUAAACUACUCAUGAAGUAAUAGCUUUAAGCUACUAACUUCAUAAAAUUGCUUUCAAACAUACAUAUUUUAACGAGACAUGCUAAAUCGAGAUUCGACAUCGAACAAGUGUUUACAUAAAUAUUGUAUCUGACAGUUUUCUUUUCAAUUAAAAUAGGACUAAAACAUGACACAUCCUAAAUCAUGAUUUUCUACUACAUGAAGAGCUAAUAAGUAAUAGUUUCUACGAGCAAAUAACAAAAUAGAGUGACGGCUCAAACUAAUUACCUCACAGAUUAAAAGAAGCAUUUCGAAUGUCAAAAAAGAGGAAAUGGAAGUAACAACAUUUUUACCAAUAUGUACAGAUCAUAAACAUGCUUAGACCUGCGGAAUCGAAAAGAGAAGAAAAAGCACUGACCUAUUUCAGAGCAGUGAACUGAGGGCGGUGAUCAUAGAUGCUCUCAAAUUCCGACCUCGAAACUUUUACUACGAACAACUUUGUUGGAGAGUUUGGAAAAGAAAUACGAAGUAUUUAGGGAAAGGAUAAGCUUUUGGGAAGUCUGUUGAAGAAUAAAACGUGAACAGAAUAAGGAGAGAAGACGGCUCAAAGUAGCGAUUUUAGGUUCGAGAAGCGGUUAAAACUUUUUGUUUAAAGAGAAAGGCAGCGACUUCAAAAAAAGUUUAGGAGUAAGAGGCAGCUAAAAACCAUCAAAUUUUGGGGUAAAAGUGCGGCUAAAAACCAUUUAAUUUAAGGUGAAAGUAGGCGGCUCCAACCAUUUUUGGGGGUAAAGGUGUAGCUCCAAAACAUAUCCAAAAUAGACACCAAUAGGAUGUAUUUAUAGAGACGAUUUUAGGGCUGGGGAACCAUUGAGCGGAAAUCGGACUAACCAUUUGAAUUUUGAACAAAAAAAACCAUUUGCAUUGGAUCAAAUCUUUGAUGCAGAGACCAAAUCUCAUUCUCUGAAAAGUAAUCCUGGCUUUUUGUUAUGAGCCUAGUUUGACCAAGUUUGGUGUAUGAAGAUUCAUUAUAAUGGAAUGAUAUUUUCUAGCCUAGGGAUGAAGAUGUUUGGAGUUUUAUCAAAAAUAGAAAAAGGAACAGAGUGUCUGCCAUGGGAGAGGGACAAGAGUGGAGU